GACGAACGCUGGCGGCGUGCUUAACACAUGCAAGUCGAACGGAAAGGCCCUGCUUUUGUGGGGUGCUCGAGUGGCGAACGGGUGAGUAACACGUGAGUAACCUGCCCUUGACUUUGGGAUAACUUCAGGAAACUGGGGCUAAUACCGGAUAGGAGCUCCUGCUGCAUGGUGGGGGUUGGAAAGUUUCGGCGGUUGGGGAUGGACUCGCGGCUUAUCAGCUUGUUGGUGGGGUAGUGGCUUACCAAGGCUUUGACGGGUAGCCGGCCUGAGAGGGUGACCGGCCACAUUGGGACUGAGAUACGGCCCAGACUCCUACGGGAGGCAGCAGUGGGGAAUAUUGCACAAUGGGCGGAAGCCUGAUGCAGCAACGCCGCGUGCGGGAUGACGGCCUUCGGGUUGUAAACCGCUUUCGCCUGUGACGAAGCGUGAGUGACGGUAAUGGGUAAAGAAGCACCGGCUAACUACGUGCCAGCAGCCGCGGUGAUACGUAGGGUGCGAGCGUUGUCCGGAUUUAUUGGGCGUAAAGGGCUCGUAGGUGGUUGAUCGCGUCGGAAGUGUAAUCUUGGGGCUUAACCCUGAGCGUGCUUUCGAUACGGGUUGACUUGAGGAAGGUAGGGGAGAAUGGAGUUCCUGGUGGAGCGGUGGAAUGCGCAGAUAUCAGGAGGAACACCAGUGGCGAAGGCGGUUCUCUGGGCCUUUCCUGACGCUGAGGAGCGAAAGCGUGGGGAGCGAACAGGCUUAGAUACCCUGGUAGUCCACGCUGUAAACGGUGGGUACUAGGUGUGGGGUCCAUUCCACGGGUCCCGUGCCGUAGCUAACGCUUUAAGUACCCCGCCUGGGGAGUACGGCCGCAAGGCUAAAACUCAAAGGAAUUGACGGGGCCCCGCACAAGCGGCGGAGCAUGCGGAUUAAUUCGAUGCAACGCGUAGAACCUUACCUGGGUUUGACAUGGAUCGGGAGUGCUCAGAGAUGGGUGUGCCUCUUUUGGGGUCGGUUCACAGGUGGUGCAUGGCUGUCGUCAGCUCGUGUCGUGAGAUGUUGGGUUAAGUCCCGCAACGAGCGCAACCCUUGUUCACUGUUGCCAGCACGUUAUGGUGGGGACUCAGUGGAGACCGCCGGGGUCAACUCGGAGGAAGGUGGGGAUGACGUCAAGUCAUCAUGCCCCUUAUGUCCAGGGCUUCACGCAUGCUACAAUGGCUGGUACAGAGAGUGGCGAGCCUGUGAGGGUGAGCGAAUCUCGGAAAGCCGGUCUCAGUUCGGAUUGGGGUCUGCAACUCGACCUCAUGAAGUCGGAGUCGCUAGUAAUCGCAGAUCAGCAACGCUGCGGUGAAUACGUUCCCGGG
rnacentral:rRNA from 1 species